rnacentral:rRNA from 1 species
AUUGAACGUUGGCGGCACGCUUUAGACAUGCAAGUCGAACGAGAAAACACUUCGGUGUGAGUACAGUGGCGGACGGGUGAGUAACGCGUAGGAAUCUACCUAGUAGUGGGGGACAACUCGGGGAAACUCGAGCUAAUACCGCAUACGCUCUAAGGAGGAAAGUGGGGGAUCUUCGGACCUCACGCUAUUAGAGGAGCCUGCGUUAGAUUAGCUAGUUGGUGAGGUAAAGGCUCACCAAGGCGACGAUCUAUAGCUGGUCUGAGAGGACGAUCAGCCACACUGGAACUGAGACACGGUCCAGACUUCUACGGAAGGCAGCAGUCAGGAAUAUUGGGCAAUGGGCGAAAGCCUGACCCAGCGAUGCCGCGUGUGUGAAGAAGGCCCUAGGGUUGUAAAGCACUUUCAGUCGUGAAGAAAAGCAUUGGGUUAAUACCCCGACGUGUUGACGUUAACGACAGAAGAAGUACCGGCUAACUCCGUGCCAGCAGCCGCGGUAAUACGGAGGGUACGAACGUUAAUCGGAAUUACUGGGCGUAAAGCGCGCGUAGGCGGUUUGAUAAGUGGGAUGUGAAAGCCCCGGGCUCAACCUGGGAACUGCAUUCCAAACUGUCAGACUAGAGUGUGGUAGAGGGAGGUAGAAUUUCCUGUGUAGCGGUGAAAUGCGUAGAUAUAGGAAGGAAUACCGAUGGCGAAGGCAGCCUCCUGGACCAACACUGACGCUGAGGUGCGAAAGCGUGGGGAGCAAACAGGAUUAGAUACCCUGGUAGUCCACGCCGUAAACGAUGAGAACUAGCCGUUGGGGCCUUUAAGGCUUUGGUGGCGCAGCUAACGCGAUAAGUUCUCCGCCUGGGGAGUACGGCCGCAAGGUUAAAACUCAAAUGAAUUGACGGGGGCCCGCACAAGCGGUGGA